GGGGACGUAACAAAGCGACCCAGGAAUGCUUGGGCGUGCCUCCACCCACGCCGGCGUCGGCGGGCGUAUUUCGCCUCACAGUAGGUCGCCGCGACCCGUUGCUUUUGGGGACGUCGAAGGCCCGGACGGAUUGGUACCCUACCGGCUGGGGAUGCGGCUUCGGCUUCUCCUCUUGUCCGGUGGGCGAAACCGCCGGUGUCCUGGCUGCCCUGCGACGGUCGUAGAGACGAGCCCUCCCCUUCGGGGGGGCGGCUCUCGCGGCGUGCAAAAGGUCGGUGAUCCACCCGACCCGUCUUGAAACACGGACCAAGGAGUCUAACAUGUGUGCGAGUCAGUGGGCGCACUAAACCCAGAGGCGUAAUGAAAGUGACACGGGCUCGGCUGUCGCCUCGUGUGGCAGCCGGACUCAGGGCCGAUCCCUCACCGGUUGUCCUCGCCUCUCUCCCGCGUCUCGGUAAGCCGGGUGAGCUAUUUUCCCCGGCCGCUGCUGCGGGGCUCGGGGGGAGGCGGGGUGCGAUGGUGUCUGUAAAAAAGAGCCUGCUGUUGCAGGGGGGCGCAGGCCCGGGACUUGCCAGGACGCCGCGAGACUGUCACUUUGCUGUGAGGCUCUCGGGCCGAUCAGCGGGUCAUGCGUGCAGUCGGCAAGUACCAUGAGCAGACAUGUUGGGACCCGAAAGAUGGUGAACUAUGCCUGGCCAGGAUGAAGCCAGAGGAAACUCUGGUGGAGGUCCGUAGCGAUUCUGACGUGCAAAUCGAUCG
rnacentral:rRNA from 1 species